AUAAGAGCACAAAAUAUUAAAGAACAGUAACUUCUGUCAUCAUCUCUCUAAAUAUGACAGGAAAUCACAGAAAAAGAAGCACAAUGUAUAAAAAGUGUCAAAAUAAAGGCGACUUUCUCUUUGAACAGAUAGUUUAUGUUGUAACAUUGAGAAUAUUAAUGAUAAAUUUAAACUGUUUCUGAUUGGCCGAGCACAAUCUGCAUUCUCCUGAGAACUAACAAUAUUAACCUCACCACUAUACAGCACCAUCUGUCACGGUGCCCCCGGCCGGGUCCUCCUCAUCAGCUCCACCUGAUGCCUCCAGCUGCGCCUCCUCAUCCUCAUCAGCCAGCAGACUCUUAAGGAGACCACGGACCUGUAACCGACGCUAGUUCGUUGUACUCCUAUGGACCUCGCUUACCGGAGGAGCAUACCUGAUCACGGGUCACCUCUCGCCGUCUCGCUCGGACGUUCUCCAACCCCAGUCUCGGAUCACGCGGUUGCUGCCAACAAUACCCUCCAACCACUCCUUGGACAAUCUGGAAGGAUACUGGAGCUCAAGUCCAUCCUGACCUUUUCUAAUUAAAAACCUCAUUAUUCUCA